rnacentral:rRNA from 1 species
UACGUAGGUGGCAAGCGUUGUUCGGAAUUAUUGGGCGUAAAGGGCGCGUAGGCGGUCGGUUAAGUCAGCUGUGAAAGCCCGGGGCUCAACCCCGGAGGGUCGGCUGAUACUGAUUGACUAGAGUACGGAAGAGGUAGCUGGAAUUCCCGGUGUAGCGGUGAAAUGCGCAGAUAUCAGGAGGAACACCGGUGGCGAAGGCGGGUCUCUGGGCCAUAACUGACGCUGAGGAGCGAAAGCGUGGGGAGCGAACAGG